AGCAGUAGCCGCGGGAAUACGUAGGUGGCAAGCGUUGUCCGGAAUUAUUGGGCGUAAAGGGCUCGCAGGCGGUUUCUUAAGUCUGAUGUGAAAGCCCCCGGCUCAACCGGGGAGGGUCAUUGGAAACUGGGAAACUUGAGUGCAGAAGAGGAGAGUGGAAUUCCACGUGUAGCGGUGAAAUGCGUAGAGAUGUGGAGGAGCACCAGUGGCGAAGGCGACUCUCUGGUCUGUAACUGACGCUGAGGAGCGAAAGCGUGGGGAGCGAACAGGAUUAGAUACCCGUGUAGUCCCUGUCUCUUAUAC
rnacentral:rRNA from 1 species